GCCCGGCUGGCUCAGUCUGUAGAGCAUAGGAUUGUUGAUCUUAGGGUUAUGAGUUCAAAUCCAUGUUGGAUG
rnacentral:tRNA from 1 species